GCCGGGAUAGCUCAGUGGUAGAGCAGUUGAUUUGUAAUCAUCAGGUCGUCGGUUCAAAUCCGACUCUCGGCUCCA
rnacentral:tRNA from 3 species